UCUAAAACUCGAGAUAUGGGCUGAACACUGAACAGUGUCUGGGCUGCAAGACAGAUUCUGACUUCUUUAUUGUUGCUACAAUUUGAACUUGAAAAUAACCUUUUUGAAUCUUGGACUCCAUGAAAGUUUUAAGCCUAUGUCUUCUUAACUUUCCAUC
rfam:Populus trichocarpa scaffold_1_contig_232, whole genome shotgun sequence.